rnacentral:rRNA from 1 species
UACAGAGGGUGCAAGCGUUAAUCGGAAUUACUGGGCGUAAAGGGCGCGUAGGCGGCCCGCUAAGUCAGACGUGAAAUCCCUCGGCUCAACCGGGGAACUGCGUCUGAUACUGGCAGGCUUGAAUCCGGGAGAGGGAUGUGGAAUUCCAGGUGUAGCGGUGAAAUGCGUAGAUAUCUGGAGGAACACCGGUGGCGAAGGCGGCAUCCUGGACCGGUAUUGACGCUGAGGCGCGAAAGCCAGGGGAGCAAACGGG